AACGCACAUUGCGCCCCUUGGUAUUCCAUGGGGCAUGCCUGUUCGAGCGUCAUUUGUACUCUCAAGCUCUGCUUGGUGUUGGGUGCUUGUCAAAGCCUUGCUCUGACUCACCUUAAAUAUAUUGGCAGCCGGUAUACUGGUUUGAAGCGCAGCACAAUUGCAAUUCAAGCCUGCUAAUAUUAGCAUCCAUUAAGAUUAUAACACUUUUGACCUCGGAUCAGGUAGGGAUACCCGCUGAACUUAA
rnacentral:misc_RNA from 1 species